rnacentral:rRNA from 1 species
GAUGAACGCUGGCGGCGUGCCUAAUACAUACAAGUCGAGCGAACAGACGAGGAGCUUGCUCCUCUGACGUUAGCGGCGGACGGGUGAGUAACACGUGGAUAACCUACCUAUAAGACUGGGAUAACUUCGGGAAACCGGAGCUAAUACCGGAUAAUAUAUUGAACCGCAUGGUUCAAUAGUGAAAGACGGUUUUGCUGUCACUUAUAGAUGGAUCCGCGCCGCAUUAGCUAGUUGGUAAGGUAACGGCUUACCAAGGCGACGAUGCGUAGCCGACCUGAGAGGGUGAUCGGCCACACUGGAACUGAGACACGGUCCAGACUCCUACGGGAGGCAGCAGUAGGGAAUCUUCCGCAAUGGGCGAAAGCCUGACAGAGCAACGCCGCGUGAGUGAUGAAGGUCUUCGGAUCGUAAAACUCUGUUAUUAGGGAAGAACAAAUGUGUAAGUAACUAUGCACGUCUUGACGGUACCUAAUCAGAAAGCCACGGCUAACUACGUG